rnacentral:tRNA from 1 species
GGCAAGAUGGCCGAGUGGUCUGAGGCACCAAAAUUAGUAGUCACCUUAUGACUCAAUCUCUAAUCCUCGGGCGCGAGUUCGAACCUUGCUCUUGUCA